rnacentral:rRNA from 1 species
UACAGAGGUCUCAAGCGUUGUUUGGAUUCAUUGGGCGUAAAGGGUGUGUAGGUGGCGCGCUAAGUCGGGUGUGAAAUUUCGGAGCUUAACUCCGAAACUGCAUUCGAUACUGGCGUGCUUGAGGACUGGAGAGGAGACUGGAAUUUACGGUGUAGCAGUGAAAUGCGUAGAUAUUGGGAGGAACACCGGUGGCGAAGGCGGCCACCUGGGCCGGAACUGACGCUGAGGCGCGAAAGCGUGGGGAGCAAACGGG